rfam:Candidatus Zambryskibacteria bacterium RIFCSPHIGHO2_01_FTLL_44_22b rifcsphigho2_01_scaffold_7496, whole genome shotgun sequence.
GCGCGCUUAGCUCAGUGGUAGAGCAUCCCCUUGACGUGGGGAGGGCCGUGGGUUCAAAUCCUACAGCGCGCA